rnacentral:lncRNA from 1 species
AAAAAAAGAUACUACUCUACAUCACAUCACAAAACCUCAAUCCAAACAGGCACUUAGUAAAUAAAACAGUUGAAAGAGAUUAAAUACGCGCCACAUAUGACAUAGCAAAAAAAAUAGAAUCCAAGAAAUAACAUAGCAUCAUCGAAUUGAUCCAUGAUGAAACGACAAUGAUCGGAAAAUGUGAAACGAACCUGAGGCGAAGAAGAAGAAGCCAUAGAUUCGGAUUAGGAAUUGAGGAGAACUGAACAUCAAUCGUUGACGAAUGUGUGUGCGUGUGUGUGUGUGUGCGCUUAACCCCGAGGCCAAGGCGGUUCACUAUUAAUUAAACCAUUCCGUUCAGUCAUCAGCCA